rnacentral:rRNA from 1 species
UACGGGGGGAGCAAGCGUUGUUCGGAUUUACUGGGCGUAAAGGGCGCGUAGGCGGUCAGCACAAGUCAGUUGUGAAUCUCCGGGCUUAACUCGGAAAGGUCAACUGAUACUGUGCGACUAGAGUGCAGAAGGGGCAACUGGAAUUCUCGGUGUAGCGGUGAAAUGCGUAGAUAUCGAGAGGAACACCUGCGGCGAAGGCGGGUUGCUGGGCUGACACUGACGCUGAGGCGCGAAAGCCAGGGGAGCGAACGGG